AGUGAACGCUGGCGGUAGGCCUAACACAUGCAAGUCGAACGGCAGCACAGUAAGAGCUUGCUCUUACGGGUGGCGAGUGGCGGACGGGUGAGGAAUACAUCGGAAUCUACUUUUUCGUGGGGGAUAACGUAGGGAAACUUACGCUAAUACCGCAUACGACCUACGGGUGAAAGCAGGGGAUCUUCGCACCUUGCGCGAUUGAAUGAGCCGAUGUCGGAUUAGCUAGUUGGCGGGGUAAAGGCCCACCAAGGCGACGAACCGUAGCUGGUCUGAGAGGAUGAUCAGCCACACUGGAACUGAGACACGGUCCAGACUCCUACGGGAGGCAGCAGUGGGGAAUAUUGGACAAUGGGCGCAAGCCUGAUCCAGCCAUACCGCGUGGGUGAAAAAGGCCUUCGGGUUGUAAAGCCCUUUUGUUGGGAAAGAAAAGCAGCAGGUUAAUACCCCGCUGUUCUGACGGUACCCAAAGAAUAAGCACCGGCUAACUUCGUG
rnacentral:rRNA from 1 species